rnacentral:sRNA from 1 species
AUCAUGAACUGAAAGAAGAGAACCGGACUCUGUGGUGGAAAAAACUGCUGCCUGAACUUUGUCAGAGAAUAAAAUGUGGUGGAGAGAAAUAUCAACUCUACCUGUCAUCAUUAAAAGGUAAAAUGAUUUUUUUUUUCUUGAUUAUAAACUUAAGUUUCAGUUUUAAAUUUGGUGAAGCCUUCUUAAGUAUUUUCAUAUGAUUCUCAAGUGAGACCGAGGGCCUUUCAGAACCAUCUGGGGAGCUUAUUUUCAGCAUUCACGUACCCUCCCCCUGACAUUUGAUAUUGAUUUAUCUCCUAGUCACAGAACUGAUGUUCUUUUAACUUAAUCCUUUCAAACACUUAACAAAUUAUCACAGUCAUAGAAAAUGACAGCAUCAGUGUUUUAAAAUGUGAGUAGUCAUUAAGGCAAUUACAUCUUUUAUCAAUGAUCAGAGUACUUAAUUUACUUCAUGUAGGAAGUUAAGAUCAUUACUAUUAAACAUAAUUAUAAGCAAGUAUUGAUGAAUAACAACCUCAAGGAUUUAAAAGUUGAGUAUCUAAAUUGUACCGUAUUUUACAGCAUAGUAGUUAUUUGAAUUUUCAUAAUUCAUAAUCAUAA